rnacentral:lncRNA from 1 species
GCUAAGUAUUUCUACCUAUCUUUAUACUUAUAUUAUGUUAGAAUAUUAAAAUACAUAAACUAUGGAAAACCAAAUAAAGAUUUUGUGCUUAUAUAUAUAUCUUUUGCUUAGUGUGUUUAAUAAAUAAAUAAAAUGGCUAUGCUAAUCUGAAUCUUAAUAAUAAAACUCUAGCAUGGAUAUGAUGAAUAGUUGCUCUGCCUAAUUUGCAAAUUUGAAGUUCUCUCUCAAGUUUAGACAUAACUGUUAUAAUUUAAAGCUUGCUCUAGAUCUAAACUUGUGGGAUGAAAACUUAAUCUGAAAUCUAAGUUGUUAACGGAUAUGAUAUGGGAAGGUUGAGCUGCUGUUUAUCUGUUCCUAGAGAUGCUAGAAUUUUGGAGAAUUUUAUCUUUGAAAAAUCUUAAAAAUAUUACAUGAUGAGUUCCUGUAUGAUGAGAGCUUAAAUUCCUACCACAACCAUAUAUACAUGCUUGCCAGACUUUGAGCCACACAUUUACUAUUUACUUCUUAUGAGCAUUGAGUGUGGUCAAGCUGUGUAGACCCUUAGGAGCUUGUCAUUUGGUUAAAUCAAGAUUCACUUGCACGUUCACUCAUAUAUGCUACUUCUACUCCGGAAGUACCAUCCACAUAUAUCCAUCCAUGUCCAUCUCCAAAACCACCCAAAAAUAUUUGUCGGUGUUUUCCCCCGGGGGGUCACACCAACGAGUAAAUUUGUAUGCGUGCUCCCUUUCCCGGAUGGUGGUGCAAGCAGACACAGAGAUUUAUCCUGGUUCGGGCAAGAGAAGGCCCUACGUCCAGCGCGGGGGAGAGAGUUUGUAUUAUCUCGCACCUAAGUGCUUGUACAGGGGCGAAUACAAGCGUGGUAUGAAGUGUGGAGCUCUACUACGUAUGAGCGUGGUCUUGUGUCGUCAUCCCUCUUGUUCUAUUCCUGAGUCCCUCCUUUUAUAGUUCCAAGGAGGGACCUAGGGUACAUGUAUAGGUGUAAGAAUAGGAGUCGAUAGCAGCAUGGAGCGCUGACCUACUCGAGGCUUCCGUACCGGCAUGACCUCGAGCCGUCCUGUCUUAAUAGCCUGGUGAUGAUCACGCGUGCCCCUGCAUUCUGCUCUGCGCGCCGUCUUGGAUUGGUUCGACGGAUGCACGCUUGUACGAUCCAGCGGAGUGGUUGGGAUGUAGUCAGUCGACGCCCAACCCGUCCCCUGGAAGGAUUUCUGUCUGGUCGAGGGUCAGAUGCCGUACAUUGUGCUGAUAUCCGGAGCGCUGACUUUAGACGUCUCGAGGGGGUCCCGAUUAGACGUCCCAUCCUUAUUUCCCGCGCCCUGUCAUGCCCUGGGUCGUUCGGCGGGAAGGCUGCAAAAAGAUUGAUGGGACGGAAGCCUGUUCCCUAUCACGCCUCCCGUGACCUGUGUGUUAGGUGGGGAAGCAUCAGGCGCAUUUAAUGCUCCCGCCCGCGUGCGCGCGUCAGGUGGCGGACGGCGACCUUGCGCUCGACGCCCCCCGGUUCACGUGAGCCUGUUCCGUAUUCGACGGUAACCGGCGCUCGACGCCUGAUCGAUUCGCUCGACGCUAUUUCCGUCUUCGAGGUCGCGGCCAUCGAUGGUCGUGCGUGUGUGCGGACGGAGCGUCGAAUCGAGGCGCUAGUUUUACGUACGGAUGGUUUCGUUAUUCGUGUUGGUGAGGGUACCCCUUGUUGAUACCCUCGACAGUAGCCCCCGAGUCUCCAUUCGAGCGCUGGCGCUCGAGUGGAGACUUUUGUCUUUUCAGUCGAGGUUCCGCGGGGGCGCGCGAGCGACCCCGCGGGGGUAGCCCCCGAGCCCUCGAGGGAGUAUUUAACUCCCUUGGGGGGUUAUUUUACCUAAUUUGCAGAGACACUGUCGACACCAGUGGUGGAAGGUUCUGAUCGGCUUUGCCUUGCGUGGAGGUUUCGACGUACUCUCGAUAGAGCGAGCGUCUUCCACUCCAGAUCGAGUUCCUAGCGGGUAGUCCAAGUGAGAACCCGUGCCCCUUUCGAGGGGGUCAGCUGUAGCCCGGAGGCGUUCUCAUAAAGCUGGGUCGACGUGGUCGGGGAUACCGGUCUCAUUCGAUAGAGUCCAGCGGCUCGAUGCCUCCCGUCGGGGGGAUUCCUCUCGACUGUCUCGACCCUGCCUUGGACAUCGCCAGCGAGUUUUCGAGGCAUGCCUCGAUUUUCGACCACUCGCUGGGGACCCCUGACUCUUGGUGCUCGAGAUCGGCUGUCGAACCCUUUCGACGGGCCAGCCCUCGACCUCUCGAGACUAUUGUGGGCGCGUAUCUUGGCUUACGAAGCAAGGAAGCUGCCUUGCCGGUUCGUCUUUCCGCCCGUUGGGCGCACCUUUUGAGGUAAGUGACGUUGCGACACUGUAUCGGCGGGGAAUCCGGAGCGUCCGGCCUGUGAGGAGAGAAAGGACUGUUAGAUGGCGCAUUUAUGGGGGGAGUUACCUCAUUUAUCGGAUCCGUCCAUUGGUUGGCCGCUAUCUAUAAGUACGCCGUGGCGCUGCUCCAUUCUUUCUCUCCUCUUCCGUUCUCUCGCCUCCGUCUUCUUGCUGCCUUUGCUCUCUUGCUUCCUUCACACGCGCGUGCACCCCCUCGAGCAGUAGCGAAUCCACCGUAUUCCAACCAAGAUGCCUGUGAGGCUUGUUGCCGCCGACGACUGGCGUCCAUCGUUGAUGACGGACCGCCGCCUGCUAGAGCUCGAGAAUGAAGGGCUCUUGCGCCGCCGCACCUCGCAGUCUUCGCCGGAGUGGAUCGCGCCGCCGGCGAGUCACAGGGAGCCCCAGCCACCCGAGGGCUACGUGGUGUCAUUCGCCAAAUUCCACCGCCAUGGCCUGGGCGCUCCCCCGAGCCGCUUUAUGCGGGCUCUCUGCUUCCACUACGGGGUGGAGCUCCAGCAUUUUUCCCCGAACGCCAUCACCGUCGCGGCGGUCUUCGCCGCGGUGUGCGAGGGUUAUCUGGGGAUGAUGCCCCAUUGGGAUCUAUGGCUUCACCUCUACAGGGGCGAACUUUUCAACGCCCCCACCGGGACCACCAGCGUGAGGAAACCCGUGCGGGCCGGAUGCCUCAACCUGGUGUUGAAGACGAAGAAGACGAAGAGGCCACGCGAGUACAUCCCGGUGGGGCUGUCGUCGAACCAUGCUGGGUGGGACUCCCAGUGGUUCUAUCUGAGAAACGACGACGGUCUCUUCCCCGUCUACACAGGCCGUCUGAUCUCGGAGCACCCAGACAACUGGACGUACGGCGUCGUCCAGGAGCACCAGUCACGGCUCGACCCCCUCCUCGACGUUAUGAAGAGGCUGUGCUUGGAGGGCCUGUCCGCCGCUCUUGUCCUCUCGGCCGUCCAUCGUCGGAGGGUCCUUCCCCUGAUGUCUCGGCUUUUGAGGAUGGACGAAAUGGGGCCGGGCGUCUCGUCCCGGGAUCUCGAGGCUUGCCGGAUGUCCAACGUGGCUCUGGCGGACGAUGAGGUCGUCGCCCGGGUCAGGGCGGCCAUCGCCGGCGAUUUCAAGCCGUCGCACGUUAACGGCUUCCCUAUGAGGCCUGAUGAAGGCUCGGUCGAUUUGGUAUGUCUUCUUCCUCAUGGUAGCCUUGACACUGGGUUCCUUUUCCACCCCUUUUUUCUGAUUCUAUUUUUACUAUGACAGGGGCGGAUCGACGUUCGAUCCUCGAGGCCCCCGGUGAAGGAGGACGAAGUCGAUCGCGACGCGCGGCGCCGUUCCGCCGAGAAAUCGAAGUCCGUCAAGGAGUCUAAGAAGAAAGGGGAGAAGAAGAAAAACCUUGACCGGCAAGCUUUAGAGGCGCGUCGGUCCAAAUCCAGGCAGAGGGGAGAGCCUGAAGAAGAGUCCCCCAGCGAGAAAGAUGAUGACGACGAUGAGGAUAGUGAGGACUCCGAGGGGAUGGCGUCUCGCCUUGACCGGAUCCUCGGGGGUCCAUCUCAAGGCGAGGCCGACGCUCCUCGGGUGGAAGCUUCGUCGGAGGGCCCAGGCGGAUCCCUCCGUCCUCGCGCCGAUACCCCUCCCGCGCCCAAGGUUGGUCAAGUUGCCCCGAACCCUCCCCCGGCGCCCAGGGAGAGUGGUCAUGCUAGGCCCCAGGCGACGGGGCCACUGACCCGCGGUCGUGCCGCGGCCUCCGAGAAAGGAGAGGCCGGCCGCAGGAGUGCCAGUCCCGGCGCCCGCCACGCGGGAACUGAUGCGCCUGCCCUCGAGGGGCCUAGAACCCUGACGCGGGGAGGCUCGAGGCCCGCCGGUCGGGGCGGCGGGAGGCGAGCUAUUCUUCCUGUAGGGUAAGCCCUUUCGAUGUUGUGGCCUUUGUCUUCCUGCUCCUCUGCGUUUGCUCAUAUGCCGAUCUUUUCUCAGGCUAAAGCGGACCCUCGAGCGGGCCCAGCCGUCCAUGGCAAAGAGGCUCAAAACGGGAACCGCCUCCAAGGAACCAGGUUUAUAGCUUGUUUAUGGGCCCUGUGAUGUUCUCGCGUCGGUUAUUACAGCGUCUAACCUUUAUCCCUUGUUUUGUAGGCUCCUCCGACUCCCAACCUCCAGCCGGUGUCGAGAGGAGUCCGCCUCAUCCCGUGUCUGCCUCGUCGCCGCCGACUUGUGGCGAGGCGUCCCAGACGCAAGCGUCAGAGGGAGCCCCCGAGCCCCCUCGAUUGGGGGUCGAGGGGGAACCUAUCACCAUCAGCGACACGUCUGAUGGUGACAGAGCGUCUGGGGGUGCCCGCCCUAUGGAGGAGGAAACGUCGAGCCCUCGUGUCGCGGGGUCAACUCCCUGGCCCGCCGGCCUCCGUACCCUCGAGGAGCAGAAAAAAAGAGGGAGGAGGAUGAACAGCGGGAGCGCGAGGCGGCGCGGCAGCCACAGGAGCACGAGGCACAGCAGCAGCAGCAGCAGCAACAACCACAGCAGCAACAGCAGCAGCAACAACAGCAGCAACAGCAACAGCAGCAGCAGCAACAGCAAACACCGCAGCAGCAACAGCAACAGCAGCAACAACCGCAGCAGCAACAGCAGCAGCAGCAGGUGGGCCAAGAGGAGGGACUGCUCGAGCCUCCGCCCCAAGGUCCGGCCCAGCCAGUACCAUCGGAGCCGCAAGAGCCCGGCGAGCAGGAGGAGAAUCUGCCGGCGUACGGCCCCCCAACUCCGGCGUGGCUCCUCCCGGGGGCGCCUGCCGCGAUCCGGGCGGAGCCGGGGUGAGCGGAUGGAGUGGUGGCGCUUGCGUGCCUGAAGCGCACCCCCCGACCCCAAGUCCGAGAUCAAGAGGACAAUUUACGGCAUGGAUGGGAUUGCCCCAGGGUUCCUCCGGGAACGUCGGGCGUGGGAGGACCGCUUUCCUUCCGAGGAGGAUGAAAUCGGGACAUCAGGGACCAAGGACGGGACCUGGAAGACGGUGGACGACGACGGGCGGUUCCCAUGCCUCGUCGACCUGUUCCUGCGCCAUGGGGGCUCUCUCGAGACCGUCGAGGGGCUCAUCCGCGGCGUUAAGGCACGGGCCGACCGGGAGAUGGAGCACUGGUGCCCCGAUCGCAUCCGUAUCCGGGCCUCCCACGACCCGUCUGAGCCCGAUAUCUUCCUCGACGAUCGGAAGGAGGCGGAGAAGUGGGAACACGUCGAGGAGCUCCGCCUUUGGAUGAAGCAUGUGGUGGGGCUCCUCUCAGACGUUGUUAACAACGGGCUCGGCCCGGCUUAUUUCGUAAGUGUUUCUCGAACUUCAAUUCCCACGGUGCUUUCUGGUUUCUGUGUUCUAAUCCGUACACCCCUUGAUUCGCAGGAUAUGAAAGAGACCUCCCGCAUCAAGUCCAGCUUCAUACACGCCACGAGGGGUGGUUGGGAGCAGCUCCCCCUCCUCAAGGACCAGCUCCUCGAGUCGCAGGAAAAGCUCCUGAAAGCUUAUAAAGAUCUCAUAGCGCUUGAGGAGGAGAAAAAGGUAAGGGAGGCUGCUUUGGCCGAGGCUCGAGAGGCCUCGAAGAAGUCGGAGGAGGAGACAGUGCUGCUGCGGGAGCGCGCCCUUACGGUCGAGGAGGCCGCGUCUAAGGCCAGGGAGGAGGUCCUGUCCUACAAGAACGUCAUCGCGGAUUUGGACAAGGAGAAGGGCCUCCUUAAAUCCGACCUGGACUCUCUCCGAGAGUCUUUCCGAAAGAUGAAGGUGGAGCAUGUGAACGGCGAAGUCGCCAGGGGCGCCGCAGAGGAGGCCAAGAAGAAGGCCCUCGAAGAUCUCGAGGCGGAGCGGGCUCAAUCCUGCAGUCUCUCUAACGACGUCGAGCGUCUGAAGGGAGAAUUGCUGGAGAAGAGUGGGGCCAUUGUUCAGGCUGGCAAGGUGAUCGAAGAUCUCCGCGUCGCCAAUACUGAGCUGGCGCGCUCCAACAGGGAGAUCGAGCGUGCCAACACCAGACUGGUCGGCGAGAACACGGCCCUGGAGGAGAGCGUUCGUGGUAUGUUCCUGUCGCUAGAUUUCUUCUUCAAGGCGUGUUUGGUUUUUGCUAAAGUGCCUCGUAUUGCUCUUUACAGGGCUCAAGGACGAACUCCUGGCCGCCCAAGCCGAGGCUCGCAACGCCAAGGCUCAGCUCGAAGCGGAGGUUGCUUUGAGCCGUCGAGUGCGGACGGCGAUAAGUGAUCUCUCGACCUCUUGGGAGGUCGAGCCUAUGGAUGAGUCGAGGGAGGGCGCUCGAGGCGACGCCCUGGUCGACCAGUUGUGCUACAUAGGCGCGACGCUGCGAGAUCGGGUGCGGGACGCCCUCCACAUCGGGGUGAUGCGGGUGAUGGCGGUUGUCUGCUCGGGCUUCUCCUACGACAUGGAGGUGGUGUCCCAUGGCUUCGUCACCGACAUCUCCAAGACCGACGCGGAGAACGAGGAGAGGCUCCAUGCCUUGAUCGACGACGCGGAGGCUCCUGGGGAAAGGUUGGCCAAGCUUUUCGAGCCUGAGGUGCUCCCUCCUGAGGCUAGCUCGGGCGGAGGCGAGGGCGGUGAGGAUCGUGCCGCGGACUGAGGCCUGCGAGCCUGCUCAGGGCGCCUGAGGCCCCUUGUACGAUACUUUAUUAAUUCUGUGGGUAACUGAUGCUGUAUCACUUUCGUAAUUGUUAAAUGCUUAUUUUGUCUUUCCGCUUGAUGCUUUCGUUUCUCUUUGCGCCUACGUUUGUAUCCCUUGCUCGAUUUUUUGUAAAAGACCACCUCGAUCACUUCAAUGGUGGGGAAGUGAGUAGAGUUUCCGUAGCCCGGGGGCGUCGGAGUUCUCCAGCUCGUUGUCCCUCGGCCUUUGAGGGGCUCGAGGCGCCUUAGCUACUUGAACCGUGCAAGGUUUACUACGUAAGAAAAGAAAACUUCUUGGUUUUUUCGAUACUCGGGGGGGGUCGUCCCCCUGGUAGCCCCCGAGGGGGUGCUGACUAUGAUGGGUCAUAGUCGGCGCCCCCUUUUAACGUCGAGAUCGUGACUUAUUAAUCUUCUCGGCACAAAGAAAGAAGAAUUGUUUUGAGGGAAGGACUUUAUUUAUUCAUUCAUUCGUUUACAAAGUCUUGGUACAAAACGUAAGCAGGAACAUAAGUUUAGAACUUCUAGGGGUAGAAUCGACGUAGCUGUUCGAUGUUCCAUGCGUUGGUGAGAAUUGCCCCCUUUUCGUCCGCCAGCUUGUACGUUCCCGGCUUCAGGACCUCGGCCACCACGUACGGACCUUCCCAAGGCGGAGCCAGCUUGUGGCGUCCCUGAUUGCUUUGCCGGCGUCGUAGGACUAGGUCGCCCACGUUGAGGUCCCUCUUGCGCACAUGCUUGUCGUGGUAGCGUCGAAGCCUUUGCUGAUAUCUGGCAGAGUUGAGGAGGGCCAUGUCUCAAGCCUCCUCAAGUUGGUCGACCGCGUUUUCUUGAGUCUCUUUGUUCGAUUGCUCGUUGUAGGCCUUGAGUCGAGGUGACCCAUACUCGAGGUCUGUGGGGAGGAUAGCCUCAGAGCCGUAGAUCAUGAAGAACGGGGUGUAUUUUGUGGCCCUGCUUGGUAUUGUCCUAAGGCUCCAUAGGACCGAGGAAAGCUCCUUGACCCAUUUUUUGCCGAAUUUCUUCAAUCGAUUGUAGAUCCUUAGCUUGAGUCCUUGCAAAAUCAUGCCGUUGGCACGCUCGACUUGGCCGUUAGUUCAAGGGUGGGCUACUGCAGACCAGUUCACACGGAUGUGAUGCCGAUCGCAGAAGUCCAAGAACUUUUUGCUGGUGAACUGGGUGCCGUUGUCGGUGAUGAUGACAUUGGGGAUCCCAAACCGAUGGAUGAUGUCGGUGAAGAAAAGGACGGCCUGCUCGGAGCGGAUGUUGGUGAUGGGUCGAGCCUUGAUCCAUUUGGAGAACUUGUCAAUGGCCACCAGCAAAUGGGUGAAUCCUCCUUUCGCCUUUUGUAGAGGUCCUACUAAAUCGAGCCCCCACACCGCAAACGGCCAGGUAAUGGGGAUCAUCUGAAGAGCGUGGGCAGGCAGAUGCGUCUGCUUGGCGUAGAACUGACACCCGUGACAUGAUCGUACGAGCUCGAUGGCGUCCGCCACGGCCGUUGGCCAGUAGAAGCCUUGUCGAAAAGCGUUCCCUACAAGGGUCCGUGGAGCGGCGUGGUGACCGCAAGCCCCCGAGUGCAGGUCAUCGAGGAGUUUUCGGCCUUCUUCCACGGUGAUGCAAUGUUGUAAGACCCCCGUCGGGCUCUGUCGAUAUAGCUCGUUGUCUUCGCCAUAGAUCACAUAUGAUUUGGCCCGUCGAGCGAUACGACGAGCUUCUGACCUGUCUUCUGGCAACUCGCCGCGGAUAAGGCAGUCGAGGAACGGUGUGCGCCAAUCGAAUGGUCGACCUGGUCGUCGUUCUAUCUCCAUCAUCUCUUCCACCAUCAAGAGCGUAUCGACAGCAUUGGUUGGUUGGGCGGUGGUGGCGUCGACGCCAGCCCCCGUGCCUAGGUCGACGGAUGGCUCGUGAAGAUCUUUUGAGAAUGCAUCAGGCGGCACCGUGCCUCUGGUCGAUGCGAUCUUGGCGAGUUCGUCGGCUGCCUCGUUGUAGCGUCGAGCGAUAUGGACAAGCUCGAGACCGUGGAACCUGUCCUCGAGUCGACGGACCUCCUUGCAGUACGCUUCUAUUUUUGGGUCGUGGCAGCUCGAGGUUUUCAUUACUUGGUCGAUGACGAGUUGGGAGUCACCUCGGACGUCGAGGCGUCGGACUCCUAACUCGAUAGCGAUCUUGAGACCGUUGACGAGGGCCUCAUAUUCUGCGACAUUGUUAGAUGCGGCAAAAUGAAUCCUGAUUACGUACCUUAUGUGGAUGCCCAAGGGUGAGAUGAACAGCAGGCCGGCUCCGGCUCCAGUUUUCAUGAGUGACCCAUCGAAAUACAUCGUCCAUAGUUCCGCCUGGACCUGGGUCGGGGGGAGCUGGGUGUCCGUCCAUUCUGCGAUGAAGUCUACCAGGGCCUGCGAUUUGAUGGCCUUGCGAGGCGCAUAAGUGAGAGUCUCACUCAUGAGCUCGACCGACCAUUUUGCUAUUCUUCCCGUGGCUUCUUUGCUCUGGAUUAUUUCGCCUAAAGGAAAAGACGAGACCACCGUGAUGGGGUGGCCAAGGAAGUAAUGCUGCAGCUUGCGACGGGCAAGGAUUACGGCAUAAAUCAGCUUCUGGAUUUGGGGAUAACGUGCUUUGGUCUCCGAAAGCACCUCGCUGACGAAAUAUAGUGGCCUUUGAACCGGUAGCGCAUGUCCCUCCUCCUGCCUCUCGACCACCACCGCCGCGCUGACGACCUGGGUCGUCGACGCGACGUAGAGGAGCAGCGGCUCUGCAGGUUGAGGUGGAACCAGGACUGGUGCCGAGGUCAGCGUCUUCUUCAGCCUUUCGAGUGCUUCCUCGGCCUCGGGGGUCCAAGAAAAGCGCUCGACCUUCUUUAGGAGUCGAUAUAAUGGUAAUGCCUUUUCUCCUAGUCUCGAGAUGAAACGGCUCAGAGCCGCCAGGCACCCCGUGACUCUCUGUACACCCUUGAUGUCUCGGAUCGGCCCCAUUUUCGUGAUGGCCGAGACUUUCUCGGGGUUGGCCUCGAUGCCGCGCUGCGAAACGAUGUAUCCUAGGAGCAUGCCUCGAGGCACACCGAAAACGCACUUCUCGGGAUUGAGCUUGAUCCGGCUGGUGCGUAGGCAGCUAAAGGCAAUCUCGAGGUCCUGGAUCAGGUCUCCUCGUCGCUUUGACUUGACGACAAUGUCGUCGACGUAGGCCUCGACCGUUGACCCUAUAUGUUCGCCAAAUACGUGGAGCAUGCAACGUUGAUAUGUGGCUCCCACGUUUCGAAGCCCAAAUGGCAUGGUCACGUAGCAAUACAUCCCAAAAGGCGUGAUGAAAGAGGUCGCGAGCUGGUCGGACUCCUUCAUUUUUAUUUGGUGGUAACCAGAAUAUGCAUCAAGGAAAGAAAGGGUUUCACAUCCCGCGGUAGAAUCGACAAUCUGAUCAAUGCAUGGCAAUGGAAAGGGAAGUUUUGGACAUGCUUUAUUCAGACUAGUAUAAUCGACACACAUCCUCAUUUUCCCAUUCUUUUUCUUAACUAAUACAGGGUUUGCUAACCAGUCAGGAUGAUAAACCUCCUUGAUGAAUCCGGCCGUCAAAAGCUUGUGGACUUCCUUGCCAAUGAUCUUGCGCUUCUCCUCAUCGAAUCGGCGCAACCGCUGCUUCACUGGCUUGGAACCGGCUCGAAUCUCCAAGGAGUGCUCGGCGACUUCCCUCGGUAUGCCUGGCAUGUCCGAGGGACUCCAUGCAAACAUAUCAGCAUUUGCACGGAGAAAGUCGACGAGCACGGCUUCCUAUUUGGGGUCGAGGUCGGCGCUGAUCGUCAGCACUUCGCCGUCGGAGUUGUUGGGGUCGAGCGGGAUCUUCUUGGUUCCUUCCGCCGCCUCGAAGCUGCCCGCAUGACGCUUAGGCUCUGGAGCCUCAGCGGCCAUGGCCUCGAGCUUUGCAACGAGCUCGGUGGAGCUCUCGACCGGCUCCCCGUACUCGACGCACUCGACGUCGCACUCGUACGCGUGCUCGAAGGAGGAACUGACAGUGAUGACGCCUUUGGGACCAGGCAUCUUCAGCUUCAAGUAGGUGUAGUUGGGUAUAGCCAUGAACUUGGCAUAGCCCGGGCGCCCGAUGAUGGCGUGGUACGUGCCUCGGAACCCAACCACCUCAAAGGUGAGGGUCUCCUUCCUGAAGUUGGCCGCUGUGCCGAAGCAGACCGGUAGGUCAAUUCGACCUACUGGCAGUGCCUUUUUCCCUGGCACGACACCAUGGAAACCGCCGGCGCUUGGCUGGAGGCGUCCUCUAUCGAUGCCGAGGAGGUCGAGGGUCUCGAGGUAGAUGAUGUUGAGGCUGCUGCCACCAUCCAUCAGCACUUUCGAGAGUCGGGUGUUGACGAUGAUGGGGUCGACGACGAGCGGGUAGACGCCUGGGGUGACUACCUUGUCGGGGUGGUCCUCUCGGUCGAAAGUGAUAGGAGUGCUUGACCAGCUAAGGUACUGGGGCACCUCCAUUCUUGCCGCAAAGACUUCGCGACGCUCCCUUUUGCGCUGCCUCAUGGUUAAUUGAGUCGAGGGCCCGCCAUAGAUCAUGUAGCAGUUGUGGACGGCGGGGAAGCCAUCGUCAUCUUUGUUGUCCUCCUUGCUGCCAGCCUUCUCUUUCUUGGAGUCAUCACGCGUAUCUUUUUUGAACCCCAGACCGUCGAAAUGCUUUCUCAGCAUACGACAGUCCUUGAGCUUGUGGUUGGCGCCUCCCUUAUGGUAAGGGCACGGCUCCUCCAACAUCUUGUCAAAGAUGCCUCCAUCCGGAGGGCCUCGAGGCUUCUUUCGAUCCAUGGCGGCGACAAGGUUGUCAUCGGAAUCUUUCCGGUGGAACUGCCGCACUUUCUGCUUCUUUUUAUUUUUCUUGAGGCCUCGACUGGGGGUCCCAUCUUCGUCGACGGGCUGCUUGCCUUUUCUUCCUUCUGAGCUGAAGAAGGCGCCGACUGCCUCCUCCCCUGCUGCGUAGUUGGCUACUACGUCCAUCAGCUCGUCGACGGUCUGAGGUCGAUUGCGACCUAAUUCCCGCACCAAGUCUCGACUGGUGGUGCCCGAGACAAACGCCAAGAUGACGUCGUGGUCAGGGAUGUGCGGCAGCUCAGUGCGCUGCUUCGAGAAGCGUCGAGCAUACUCCCGAAGAGUUUCUCCUAACUUCUGCUUGCACUUGCUGAGGUCCCACGAGUUCCCUGGCCGUAUGUAGGUCCCUUUGAAGUUACCCUCGAAGACUCUGACCAGAUCAACCCAGUUGUGGAUCUGAUUGGCAGGGAGUUCCUCGAGCCAUCGACGGGCGGUGUCGGAGAGGAAAAGGGGUAGCUGUCUGAUGAUGGCUCGAUCAUCACCUCGAGCGCCACCUAGCUGACAGGCCAGCCUGAAGUCGGCCAGCCACAACUCUGGUUUGGUCUCUCCAUUGUACUUCGCGAUGCUGGUCGGGGGUCGAAAUGGAUUGGGCAGGGGCGUGCUGCGGAUCGCCCUGCUGAACACCCGUGGGCCUGGUGGCUCGGGGGCCACCCGGUCCUCGUCGCUGUCGUAUCUCCCACCGCGAUGCGCGCUAUAACCGCGCUCUUCCGCGUCUCCGUGCCGGCGGCGUCGAUUUUCUUUGAUGUCGUGCCGCGCGUCGUGUCGACGUUGAUUGUCGACGGGGGGGAUGAGAGCGGUCUUUCUACCUCGAGGGGGAGGUUGUUGAUGGACUGACACCUCCUCUUCGUUUAGAGGCUGUUCGUCGCGCUUCUCUGUGGCAGCUCCUCGUCGUCGAGACGCCGAACUUUCAGCUUGUUGAACCGCGGCCACUUGGAGCAAUGUCUGUACCUCAUCUCGAAUGCGUCGGGCCUGGGAAUUCGACGGCUCUGGCAUGUUACGUAGCAGCAUCGUCGCUGCCACUACAUUCUGGCCUGCUCGAGGGAAACGGCUGACAGGUUGCUCUGGCUCUGCGUCGCCGACGAUCUGUCGAUGUACCUCUCGAGCGCGUCUGCGGACACUUCCGCCCGGCGGGUAGGGCAGGUCUUGCUCGAGGAUUUGCUCGAGCAGGACGAGGCGCUCGCGGUCUUCGUCGAGCUUCAUCUUGAGCUCCCGCAGCUGCGCGAGCUGCGCGGUUCUGUCUUCCUGAGGAGGGGGGCCGACCUGUCCGUCGUUCGCAGGCGUCCUAGGGUCUUCUCGCGCCGCGGGGGCUCGACCACCCGCAGCAGCAUCCCGUGUCUCGUCAGUAGUUUCUACCGCCCCGUCGAUGUGAUAGCAUUCCCUCGUAGGGUCAUAGCUAUCUGUCUCGGAGUCGGAGUCCGGUUCGGCGGCGUAGAAACACCCACGUCCUUCCUCCAGCAAUCAUUGCCUGAGGGAGGUGAUCGAGUAUCGUCCGGGGCCUAGACGACGGAGGCCUUGUACUCGGGAAAGGUCCGGCAGCUCGGACGCCGGCCGCCGCGCUUCAGAGCUACGUGGGAGGACCAUUGGUCUUUCUACGUACGCCUGGGCGUUUGGGCAUAUCGCCCUGGCGAGCGACGCCGCGGCGUUGUCCAAUCCGAACGGCAGUGCCGCUCUUGGAGAGAACAACCCGUGUGGAAGUAGCCUAGCAGCGGUGGGGGAGAGCGCGCGAGACGCGUCCCCUCCCGUCGUCGUGCGGUGCUGAGUCGUCGCGCUUGUUGCUCCAUCACACGGUGCUGCCGACUUGUGGCCUACGUCCUGCCUCACACGAGUUGUUGGUCGUGCUGAAGCAGAGGGGCCACGGUGGUGCUGUCCGCGCCUCUUCUUAGGCGGGGAGGCGUGGUGGUGAGGGCGUCUCGGGGCCUUCAACCGUGCUGGCGUAACGCGGGCUCCUCCUGGUCCUUUGACUGAGAGCAAGAUCAUGUCGUAGCCGGAGCCCGUAGACAUGAACUCGAGACUCCCAAACCAAAUCACCGUGGAGCGCGGAAAUGGCGAGGCAAGAGUAGCCAUCCGGAAAGGAGUGGGAAAUCGAUGAAAAACACGCAGGACCCCUACCUGGCGCGCCAAUUGUCGGUGUUUUCCCCCGGGGGGUCACACCAACGAGUAAAUUUGUAUGCGUGCUCCCUUUCCCGGAUGGUGAUGCAAGCAGACACAGAGAUUUAUCCUGGUUCGGGCAAGAGAAGGCCCUACGUCCAGCGCGGGGGAGAGAGUUUGUAUUAUCUCGCACCUAAGUGCUUGUACAGGGGCGAAUACAAGCGUGGUAUGAAGUGUGGAGCUCUACUACGUAUGAGCGUGGUCUUGUGUCAUGAUCCCUCUUGUUCUAUUCCUGAGUCCCUCCUUUUAUAGUUCCAAGGAGGGACCUAGGGUACAUGUAUAGGUGUAAGAAUAGGAGUCGAUAGCAGCAUGGAGCGCUGACCUACUCGAGGCUUCCGUACCGGCAUGACCUCGAGCCGUCCUGUCUUAAUAGCCUGGUGAUGAUCACGCGUGCCCCUGCAUUCUGCUCUGCGCGCCGUCUUGGAUUGGUUCGACGGAUGCACGCUUGUACGAUCCGACGGAGUGGUUAGGAUGUAGUCAGUCGACGCCCAACCCGUCCCCUGGAAGGAUUUCUGUCUGGUCGAGGGUCAGAUGCCGUACAUUGUGCUGAUAUCCGGAGCGCUGACUUUAGACGUCUCGAGGGGGUCCCGAUUAGACGUCCCAUCCUUAUUUCCCGCGCCCUGUCAUGCCCUGGGUCGUUCGGCGGGAAGGCUGCAAAAAGAUUGAUGGGACGGAAGCCUGUUCCCUAUCACGCCUCCCGUGACCUGUGUGUUAGGUGGGGAAGCAUCAGGCGCAUUUAAUGCUCCGGCCCGCGUGCGCGCGUCAGGUGGCGGACGGCGACCUUGCGCUCGACGCCCCCCGGUUCGCGUGACCCUGUUCCGUAUUCGACGGUAACCGGCGCUCGACGCCUGAUCGAUUCGCUCGACGCUAUUUCCGUCUUCGAGGUUGCGGCCAUCGAUGGUCGUGCGUGUGUGCGGACGGAGCAUCGAAUCGAGGCGCUAGUUUUACGUACGGAUGGUUUCGUUAUUCGUGUUGGUGAGGGUACCCCUUGUUGAUACCCUCGACAAUAUUCUACUCCUAAUCCGGGAGAGAAUAGCCAAAAAUAUUUUUGUUUUCCCUUGUAAAAUAAAUGCUCAAGUUAUCUUGCUACUACCACUUGCUAUAUUAUCACAAGAGAUGAGUGCUCUGAAAAAAAAAGAAAAGAGAAGAAAAGAAAAAAUAAUAAUAAUAAACGAGGAAAUAAAAAGGGGCAAGUGCCCGGAACCUCGAAAGAAAGAAAAAGUGAGACGAGAGGUAAAAAUGGACAAGUGUCCGACAGUAGAAUUAGGGGUACAAGAUACCCACCUGAGAGGAAAGAAAAAGAAGAGCAUAUCAUUCUCCUCAUAAAGUUUCAAAAAGCAAGGAAGGUAUGUAUCCCCUCAAAAGAGCAAAAGUAGAAUUAGACUUUCACCAAUGUUAUCACCAUCAUCACCAUACACCAUUCAUUCACCACACAUGCACAUCUUGAUUUGGCUUAUUGUUUUGUUUCUUUGGAUCCAUGGUUUGACUAUACAAUAAAUAUCUUAUAAGUAUGUAUACUUUAUCUCCCACCUAUGAGCUCCAGAUAUUAAAGCCUUAUUAGAGUAGGGUGAGAGAGAAGGCAAUGUCACUAUGCCUUAUACCACAAAUACCACAUAUCUUGAGAGAAGGCAUAUACCAUCACUGCCUUGGUAAGGAUCCAGAAAUACCACAAAAGAGAGAUUUAGAGAGUCAUACAAGGAAUCUCUGAGUUUUAUUUGAAAAUCUGUAAAAACUCCAGAGCUAUAGCUGAUCAAGAAUAAGAGACAUGGCACUUGGCUAGACUGUUCUAUCUUUUAACUACUCAAGACAGAAGUGACGGUUACAAGUCCCAUGGUGAAAGGUAAAGUAAGUAAGUUUUAGUUCUUGACAGUUUACUCUAACUCAGAGAUGAGAUCUUAUUUAAAAGCAUGUGUACCGUCAAAUUUUUAAGAUAUUGCAACAACUUCUGAUCCAUUGCUGAGUCUAUCCUUACUCAGGGACGAGCAAGAGGUAAGCUUGGGGGAGUUUGUUGACGGUCCUUAAGUAUCAAAUUUAAUUAUCAAAUAAACAAAGAAAAAGAUCCAAAUGAAAUCAACAUCUAGACUUAGGGUUUUAUCUAACAGAAUUCCACGAGUUUUGGUGUUUGUCUAUUUCUGCAGGGUGUUAUCAGGAAAUAAGGAAGAAAGGCCCACAUGUCUGGAUUACAUAGAGAUAUCAACGUGCCGUGCAAUUAUCUUACAUCUAGAAGACUCCAGAAGCCACGGGAAGGAAGCGGAGACCGAACGGAGUCAGGGACAGGGCGCCUGCCCAAGUCCUUAGGGCGCCCGCCCACCUUUUUUGGCCAAUCACGCUCAAUCUCGCGGAUUAUGCUCCACUGACCUAAAGGAUCCAGAAUAACCGUUCAAUCAAUGUCGGUUUGAUCCGACGGCCCAGGUUCACUUGAGGGGACUAUAUAACCAGACCCCCUGGCCCCUGGAGGAGGCACCCCUUGAUUAUUAUUCAUUAUUCAUAGACAGAGCAAAAACUAGGGUUUAGAGAUGAGAGCUCUCCACUCUUCUCUAAACUAGAGUAGAUCUAGAUAGUAGCGAGAUGGAGAGCGAAGGAGGAUUAGAGGAGAGGUCGGCCUGUCGGCUCUUCCUCCGGUUGUACUUCGUCAUGAUCAAGCUCUAAUCAAGCUUGCUCAUGGGAUGACUCUGGUAAUCUACUUCUAAUUCAUUAUGCAAUUACUAAUUAUGUAUGUUCUAGUUCACAACUCUUUUGAGUACUUCUAAUCUAUAGGACGCUAUAGGUUAGAGUUGUAGUAUAGGUGUAAGCAUGGUGCUUAGACCUAGAUUACUUGUGGAUAUCCCCUGUCUAGCUAGAUCGUGUGGUAGGCCGCGUAGGUGACAGUUACGUUGGUCCUCUGUAGUCCACCUCUCGUUAGCAGGACGGGUAGGGUUUAUCGGCCUAUGGAUAAGCAUCCUUUGUGGUGUAAUCUUAUCACGUGGUUCGUCCCAGACAUAGACAUACCCCUUCGAAGUAGAGAAACCAUAAUUAUCCUCUCUAUUCUGCUACCAUCGCCCAUAUACUAGAUUGCUCUACUCUUUAUUCCCAUUUUAUCACUCACUGUUAUCUUACCUUUAAUAUUGUUCUUAUUCGAUUCUACCAUCUUUCCUAUUUACACCUAUCUAUCUAUCUUGGUUAAGUUAGAGCGUAGUUGGUUCUCCCGUUUCCCUAUGGAUAUGAUAAAACCUUUAACCGGGUAAAAGCUUCAACGGUAUCCGUGCGCUUGCGGAUGAUCUGUGUGCGUAUAAAUACCAUAGUACACUCUAGUGCCAUGCUGGGGAUGACAACCUAGUAUUCAAGUGGUGUUAGCAAGUGUCAACAGGAAUUGCUUGAUACCGUUGAUGCAUAUAUACUCCUUGUUAUCACUACUCGUUCAUCUACGUCGUCCUAUGUAGAUAGGCACGGAGUCUAUGCUUAGCCUGCUUAGUCCGGUAGAAGUCGGGUGAUUUCCUGUCACCUGCGAGAUAUAGGUGGAUACCUGCUUGACUAAGCGGUGAUUGCUUUGGGAAAGAAUAACCAAGGGUGGAAUGGAACUUGAGACCGGGCAGGGUCUUAUGGUGGGUUGACCAUAGUACCCCUGCCUGUGUCGAUUAAGAACCGAUCGUUAACGGCCCUCUUGUCAUGUUGAACGCAUGCCCCACAUUUAGCUAGAAGGAGAAGUCGUUCCGACCGCGAAGCCUGAGCACUAUCCGGGCCAGGAAUCGGCCCGAUGUACGCGCUGUAUUGGUGAUGGUUGAGGAGAACGAUGAGGGCGCGGCGUGCAACCUUGGGAUACCUUGGAUACCUCGGUCGCUGGAACGGUCCUCGGGUACGGACGGUGCCUGUCGAACCCGCGAAUUGGUCCUGGAUAGUGCAACACGAUGAUCUGUAGCUCACUUGAUCAGUGAGUGUGGUUUGUGUGGGGAAUAAUUCGCCAGCUGGUUAGAAAUCGAUUCGAAUCGCCAUCGCUCCUGGACAGUGAACACUUGACAUGAGCUUCGUCCUCAUAGUAAGGAAUAUGGAACACUUGGGUUAUGUGAUGAAUAAUUGCAUGAAUGCUAUGAUGAGGUACCAUCAUAUUAUUACAUUUGUUUGCCAUAGUGCAGGUGCAAACCUAGAUAAUAGGUAAUGAUACUUUCAACUUGAGCUAAUUAAAAGAAGAAGGAUUCCUUUAGGAUAUGUUAACAGAAUAGCGCUUUUGCGCAUAAAGUCAUCUGCUACCCCACUAUAUAGCCUUCACGAUCCUUGAAGAGUCUUUAUUUUUGGUUUAUGACGGGUAAGUCUAGCUGAGUACAUUCUCGUACUCAGGGUUCUACUCCCAUGUUGUUUUGCAGAUGGUCAAAUGUACUAUGGUUAUUGCAUCCUCUGCUUGUACCCAGCAAUGGGCGAUGACUAGACCAAGGGCGAUGGUCACUCUAUCUUCUCCUUUGCUUUUGUGGAAAUGACCAAAACUAUGGCACUGUAUCAAACUAAGUAUGUGUAUGUUAUUUUUGAACUAUGAAGCUUCCGCUACUUGAGAACUUGGUUUGUAAUAAUUUUAAGAACUCCGAUGUAUUUUAUAAAGGUUGUAAACUGGAUGUAAUUGUGAAUGGUGACCGCUGAACUUAUUACGAUCUUGGUUGUAUGUACGAAAUGUGGUUUGAAAUCCUUCGAGAUUUCACGGACUACCGGAAUUAUAUGGGCUUAAGCUCGAUGGUUUGACUGUGCAAAUGGUCGCUAUUAGGCUUAAUCUCUUAUAAUUUGGACGGUUCUGUUACAAGCCACAUAUUCCAUCACACUUUUAUCGCCUUGUCGCAAGGCGAGGAAUUCUUCUGCUUUCAUUGCCAUAAGUCCCUCUGGAAUGUAGUGGGCGUGAAAAGAGUCCUUAAACUCCGUCCAGGUGACCUGGUGUGUAGGAUUUGGAUGGCAAGAAAAUUUUCCCACCACGCCCCUACAGCUCCCUGAAGCUGCUGGGCGGUGAAGAGGGGUUUCUAAGUUUCUGAGCAACGAAUCAGACGGAAUUUAUGCUCCAUUGUUUAGACCAGUCAUCAGCCUCUAAGGGUUCAUCUGCCUUUGUGAACAAUAGGGCCUCGUCUCAUUGAAAUCUACAUAACGAGUCUCUCCCUCUUGAUUAUUCUGAACUCGGAAAUUUGGGGGGAGGAUGGGGUUGUCAUUGCGCCAACUCACGCAACAGACGAGCAUUAAUGGUGGUGGCACUGAGAAGAACAGCAAUAGCAUCAGCUAGGGAAGGUGGAGCAGGUGGAGGAUUGGGGAUGUCCUCCCCUCCCUACGAAGGUCCAGCUCCAUCAGAUCCGCGGGUGCGCAUCGGCAUCUGCUACAACAGUUACAUUUACUUAUUACCUCUCAAAGCCCACAUCUCGUAAAACUAUUUUACAUAAGUCAACUUAUUUAUCAUACAACUCACAUCAAACAGUUCCACAUACUUAAAACAAUCGAUUACAGCUUUUCAAACUUAAAACACACUUUAUUGCUAACCCAACCCAACUACGAUAGUCUAGAAAGCUCUACAACGACACCGCCCGCAACUCCACCGAACUAGUCCGUGUGGUCGGAACCAUAGCCCGGGUCGUCGUCGUUAUCGCCGUGGUCAUCCCCUAGGUUGUUAUCACCAGAGUCGGGUUCCUCCUCACUGCUGGGGUCUUGGUUAGGCUCUCCCCCAUCUGCUAGCUCUCCAUCAGUAUCCAUCUCCCAUUCCCCUGGAGGUGGAUGAAGCUGAUGAUACAAGUCGAAUGCAAUAUCCCGGUGUUGCAUUGCCAUAUCACUAACUGUCUCCAGAUGGUGUGCCAACUCAAGUUUCUCAAGUUGCAAUUGAUCCUCCCGUUGCCACGUGACGUCUCUCUGUGCGGCGACAGUGGCCGCCAUCUUCUUGUAGAAAUUCUUGGUGUACUUGCUUUUAGAUAGCUUGGCCUUCAUGCGGGUCAGCUCGUGCAUAUGCGUACUCCUAGCCUCCUCCUCCCAGGCAACGACUGCGUUGUGCUCUUCCACCAUGUGGGUCAGCAUCGCCUCGCAAUUCUCCAUGGCUUGUUUUUUAUUUGUCAAUUGGGCUUUGAACUCGCCAAUCUCCAUAACGUUGAACAUUCUCUCUCUAGUCACUUCAGUUAACUCUGCCGAUAACCUUUCUAUCUCCUGCUGAGGUUGGGAGCGACUGCCACUAGCUUGAUCAUUCCUCGGGGCCAGCUGAUGUCGGGGCACUCCCUUGGGACCUGUUCUCUUGCGAGGAGUUUGCUUCAAACGUCCGAUCCUAUAGAGGGUGAGUUUAGAUUAGUAAAGGGGACCUUAAAGGUUAGCAAGAAUGGGAAUGAUCCCAUACAACCCAACCCAAGUAAAGAGGAAGGUAAUUAAGCAAGUGAUAUACUUUAUGGUGCUCCUUCACAUGACCUUAAAAACUCUAAUAAGGCCUACAGACAUGGGUAAAGUAAAGUUAAAGCACUUGGACUCAAAAUAGGCAAUUUUAGAAUAUUAGAUCCAAAUAGAUUUGAAGUUUUUCAAAGGAUACAAUAGUCAUCUUAGCAAUGAAUGCUCUGAUACCAGCUAUGGCAGAACCUCCUAAGUAGUUGGGUUCACCGACAGCCGUCAUUGUCCCAAGGACCUCUGAUAGUGAUGCCGAGGAUCCACCUACUCUAGAAGCCCGAUGAGUAUCCCAGGAUGCUCAUUCCACUGCUACCUAUGGCAUAAUAACCGAGCUCGUCUUGACCACUAGAAAUGGUCAAUUAAUGAGAAUUUCUUCUUCUCGCCCUUACAGGAUAGCAACUGACCACCUUAGCACCAGGAUCAUUCAUUGCAAAGACAUUGCAGUAUCACCAACAGUAUAUAACCAAAGUAGCGUUUCAGAGUAAGACAACGGAAGUAUUACUUAAUUUAAUUUACAAAAGUAGUUCAUCAAAGUAGGACUUAGGUAAAAUGUUUUUACGAGCCAGGUCCAGCGGAGCAACUUUAACCAUAUUACAAAGAUUAUAAACUUACAGACCCUGCACAUGGGUCAUGCACAUUCCUCAUCAUCGUCAACCUUGACGACGGUCACGCAAUAGGGUCCAAAACAAGUCGGCUCCUGAACUUCACCUACAACAGGGGUUAUAAAACCCUGAGUACUGGAGUACUCAACAAGACAUACCCGGCAAAAAAAAAUAGGAGAACCUAGGAAUGCUUGCUUAGGGUAGACAAUGAGUGGCUGAGCAAGGAGCCAAAUUGUUUUGCAUAAAAGCUUACUAAAAGUGCAUCCUUACUUUCAAGUUUAGCCAUGAAUUGCUCACCUCGAGAGGCCGAGGAAUUCGAAGACAGUCUAUCUAGUUGCUUUUUACAGACAAGUCUAUAAAUUCCUAGUCCUUAAUAACAAUGUUAUUCAUCCGACAGCCAUAGCUUCAUGUCACUCUGAGUCCGGGAAUUGGGAUCCGAACUUCAUAAGACAUUUUCUUUCCCCAGAUCAUAACUUAGUUGCAUAUUUAACUACGAUGGGGGUUAGUGGAUUGACUCUCCCAAAUGGGGAGCAACGACGAUUUGAACCGCUUAGCAAUCCAGCUGGAGUUCCUAACCACCCGACAUAUAUAGAACUGAAUCUUGCAAAUGUCAACCCAAAUCUAGCUUUCCCAAGAUCUGACCGGGUUUGCGGCACCCGAGAGCACAGUACUCCAACGUCCAGCCCAUUUGCUAGGAGGGUACACGCUACUCUCGCCAUCACUCCACGCCCAGUGCGCGAGUAGCCGCUCUCGUCGAGGAAUCACAAGACUGGGCUUACCGUGGGCAAGUGGCUAGUACUAUAAAUUCUCAACCCAGCAGGCCAUCAACGGACCGGUCCUUAAUCGACACAGUUGGAGACACUACUUUAAGACUCCAUUCUUAAAGCUGAAAGCCCAAGUUUGGUUUUGGUAAUUAAUGACACCAAGUUGCUAAUGCCUUGUGUUUAAGUGAUUUGAGUUAGGCAUAGCAACACAUGUGAUGAAGGUGCAAUGGUGGCAUGGAAAGGUGGCCACAUGAUCACAAAGGGAUGAAGAAUGAAGUGAAGUUCAUGGUGAUAGACGAGGAGCAAAGUUAUCAAGGCAAAGGUAUAAACAUAGGAUUUUACUUUUGUCGGUCUAAGAUGAGUAGAGAAGUGAUUGACCGGGUUUAGGAUAGAUAGCCGACUAUCAAGAGGGGAAAUCACGGUCAUCUCUUGAAUCAAGUGCUACUAGGUCCUUGUCUUGAGCAUAUGCAUUAGGUUCUAGUAAAGUGCUAACUUAACUCCUUUUGUGAAAAUGUUUGUGAAAAGCUAACACACAUGCACUUUGGUGAUGGACACUUGUUGGUGUCAGCACUUUUUCAAAGGAGGUGGAGUUCCUAGGGUUGAGAGGGGUGUGGGUUCCUCUCUCCCUCCCGCCGAGCAAGCUCGGCGGGAUUCAGCGCUUUUGAGAAAGACAAGUGUAUUUUUUCUAUUGUGUCGGUGGCAAAUUUGGAGAAGUCGUGGGAGUGUUUUCUCACUGAGAAACACUCACCAGACGCUGAGUGCGGAGGCACCGGACGCUGGCCUCAGAGUCCGGUGUGCUUGACCCUGCUAGGGUUGAGCACCGGACGCAUUCUGAGAGCGUCUGGUGGUUAGCGUCCGGUGUAAGGGCGUUUUGUGACCCUCUCUGCGUAUGGGUCCGGUGAGCACCGGACGCUACCGGUGCUUAGCAUCCGGUGACCCUGCGUUUUGCGACCCUCUCUGCGCAUGAGUCCGGUGUGCACCGGACGCGUCCGGUGUGGACUUGCAGAUCGUCCGGUGGUCCGCAGGUGACCGUUAGAAUCUGACAUGCGGGAUUCAAAGAGGACACGUGGCCUAUCCCUGAGCACCGGACGCUGGGGGGUCGAGCGUCCGGUGACCCCGAUUUGAGCCCAGUGAAAACAGCCAACGGCUAGUUCUUUGAGGGGGCUUAUAAAUAGUUGGUGGUCGGCUUUGGGAGGUGCUCUCUUGGACUUUUGAAUAAUUGAGAUAUACAUUGAGCUAGAGAACACUCCCUCCACUCAUCUCCUUGCUUGAUUGCUAUUUUUAGUGAGAUUGAGUGAGAUUCAAGUGCAUUGCUUUGAGAGUUGCAUUUAGUGGCACUUGAUUCUUGAGUUUGCUGCGGAUUUCUUAUUACUCUUGGGUGUUUCCCGACGCCCUAGACGGUUUGCAGCAGCGGUGGUGUUGAGCUCGUGAUUGGAGAUUGUUUCGAGCCUCACCAAGUGAUUUGUGAGGGGUUCUUGAGCCUUCCCCGCGGGAGAUCGCAAUUGGCUACUCUAGUGGAUUGCUCGUGGCUUGGAGGAUCCCCAUCUUGUGAGUGGAUGUGCGGCACCCGCUGAGGGUUUGACUUUGGAUUGCCAAUUAGCUCGUGAUCCAUCAAGUGGGUGUAUCGCCACAACGAGGAGUAGCUUGCGGGAAGCAAGUGAACCUCGAUAAAAAUCUUGUGUCAUCUAUUGCCGAGGAUUCUCUUGUGAUUGUGAGUGAUUGGUUGGUUAUAUCUCUGCUCUACAACAUUGGUAUAACAAUCACUCUCCACUCCUUUACUUACCUGUAUACCUUGCUAGUUGGUUGUUGUGCUUUAGUGUUUAGCCUUUUACUAGUUUGUAUAGGUGGCUUGCAUACCUUAGUUGAGCUAGUGCUAGUUUUGCUUCACCAUUUGUUUUACUAACUCGCUUGCUUAGUGAAGUUUGUAGAAUUUUUAAUUAGGCUAUUCACCCCCCUCUAGCCAUUUGGACCUUUCAAGUGGUAUCGGAGCCAAGGCACCGUUUAUUUGAGGCUUAACAACCUACGGUGAAGAAAUGGCUCUUAGUUUGCAUAUCAACAACACUAAGAAGGCACCUUACUUUGAUGGCACCAAUUAUGCAUAUUGGAAGGUCAAGAUGACCGCCCAUCUCAAGUCAAUCAAUAGAGAAGUUUGGAAGGUGACCGAAACAAAGUUUGAGGUUGCAAAUGAGAAUGCACCUACACCGGUUGAAGAAAAGAAGCUUCAAUGCAAUGACAUUGCAAUUAGUGCUCUUCAUGAAGCUCUUGAUGACAAGACCUUUGAGCAAAUCAAGAACAUUGAGGUUGCUCAUGAUGCAUGGGCAAAAUUAGAAGAAACAUUUGAAGGCACCAAAGGUACUAAGACCGCAAAAGUUUACAUCCUCCAAGAGAAGUUCUCAAGCUUCAAGAUGCAAGAAGACGAAAGUGUGCCGGAGAUGUUUCACCGGUUGCAAGUUAUUGUGAAUGAGCUCAAGGCACUUGGGGAAGAAGUAAAGGAUAGUCAAUUCUCUAUGAAGUUCUUGAGAAGCUUGCCCAAGAGAUUUGACACAUUGAUCACCGUGCUAGUCAAGACAACACUUAGUGAAUCAACUCCCCAACAAGUCUUCCAAGAAGUGAUGACCGAUGAUGCUUAUAGAGAAUAUGAUGAGAAGGAUGAGUUGAUCAAGAAGAAGAAGAAGGAUGGUGAGAAGAAAGAUGAUGAGAAGAAGAAAAGUUUGGCAUUCAAGGCCUCCACAUCCAAGGGCAAAGCCAAGCAAGAAUCAUCAAGUGAAGAAGAAGCAAGCUCUUGUGAUAGUGAUGAAGAUGAGGAGAUGGCUCUUCUUGUCAAGCGAUUUGGCAAGUUUAUGAAGAAGAAGGGCUAUCGGGCUAGAAGGAAGAAGAGCUCCUCCAAGAAGAAUGACCACUCCAUGAGGUGCUGUAGAUGCCAUAGCAAGGAUCAUCUCAUCGCGAAGUGUCCUUAUGAUAGUGAUGAUGAAGAUGCUAUCAAGAAGGAAAGAAAGAAGCGAAAGAAGAAGCAAGAAAAGAAGGAAGGCUCAAACAAGAAGAAGGGUGAUGCCCAUGUUGCAACUUGGGAUAGUGAUGACUGCUCAAGUGAUGAUGAGAGCACCAAGAAGAAGGUGCAUGCUAGCAUUGCAAUUCAAGGAAAAAGCUACAUCUUCGACACUCCGUCAUGCUUCAUGGCUAAGGCCACUAAGGUAUCAUCCGAUGAUGAGAGUGAUCAUGAUAGUGAUAGUGAUAGUAAUGAUGAUGAACCAAAUAAAGAUGAACUAAUCACUAUGUUAGAAGAUUGCACUCAUCACUAUAAAGAAACUAGAAAGGAGUGCAAGGUCUUGCUUAAGGAUAAGAAAACCCUUGAGCAAGAACUUGAUGAGCUUAGAGCAUCUUAUGAGAGUCUAAAGGAAGACCAUAAGAAGCUUCAAAAGGCUCACACUAAGCUUGAAGAAGCUCAUUCCUCUCUAGUUAACAAGUGUAAAAAUGAGCCAACUAAAAUUGAAAAAGCUCAAACUUGCAACAUAGGCAUAACAUGUGAUAUCUUGAGUAAGCCUAUUGUUAUUGCUUCUACUAACCCUUCAUCUAGCACAUCCACAUCAUCCUCAUCUAGUAGUGAUGGUUUCACAUGUGACACCACACUAAAAGUUGAGAAUGAAAUUCUCAAGAAGGAGGUGAAGGAGCUCAAUCACACCUUAGCCAAGGCUUAUGGUGGUGAGGACCGCUUGCUUAUGUGCUUGGGUAGCCAAAGAGCUGUUGACGGUCCUUAAUGCUCACAUCUAACCAUCAACUAAUCAUGGAAAAGGAUCUUAAAGGAACCAACACCUAGACUUAGGGUUUUAUCUGACAGAAUUCCAUGAGUUUUGGUGUUUGUCUAUUUCUGCAAGGGGUUAUCAGGAAAUACGGAAGAAAGGCCCACACGUCGGGUUUACAUAGAGAUAUUAACGUGCCGCAUAAUUUUCUACCAUCUAGAAUAAUCCAGAAGCCACGGGAACGAACGGGAAGGCGAUCGGGCUCGGAGGCAGGGCACCCGACCUACUCUCCUGGGCGCCCGCCCUGCUACAGUGCCCAAUCAGGGUCAACUUCGCGGAUCGUGCUCCACCGACUCUAAGGAUCAAGGAAAAUCACACGAUUAAGGUCGGUUUGAUCGGAUGGUGGAGAAUAACGUGGAAAUUCCUUGGGAGCUACUCUUCCUAGAUUUCUCGGGAGCUACUCUUCCUAGAUUUCUUGGGGGCUACUCUUCCUGGACUAUAUAAGCAGACCCCCACCAGCCCCUGGAGGCAUACCUCUUCUAUAGAAUCAAAGCUAGGGUUUCAAUUCUUCAUCCAAGUAGAGAGGAUCCCUCUAGUUCUUCUAGUUCUACCUCUAGUUCAUUUAGAUCUAGUUCUAGUUCAUCUAGUUCUAGUUCUAGUUCUAGUUCCUCUAGUUCUAGUUCUAGUUAGUUCUAGUUGUAAUCUAGAAAAUAGGGAGAGAGAAGAGGAGAGCGGAGGAGGAGCCGGAUCUGUCGGAUCUUCCUCAACAUUAUACUUUUGCAGCAUCUGGUUCGUUCUUCAUCGUUCUCUAGGUUCUUCAAUUCAUAAUUCCUAAGUUCUUUAAUUACUUUUAUUUACAUUCAAGUUAUUUAUUGGAUUCCCGCUUGCAUCAAGUGCUCUAGUCUUUAUAACGCUAGAGUAGUAAUUAAUAGAUUAGACGUGGUGUUUAGUCUUGCGAUUACCUGGAAUUGCACCCAAUCCUGCGGAUUGUUGUGGUAGCCUUAGGGUAGUGACAGCCCUAAUGGUUGACGUAUUCCACCACGUUCGGAUCGGUGUUUGUAGGACCGUAGUCAGACCUUCCUAGCCCCCUUCUCAUCUCUUUCCGUGGUUAGUGCUCUGAUGUCCCGAUAUAGAUAAUCUUGAAGUAAUUCUUGAUUCUUGGAUCAACUAGAGAACUCUCAGGAAACUUCCUCUCUUCCCACCAAAAAUAAUUAUAUAGUUAUCCUUGGGCGAUCUUGGAUCUUAAUUAGUACACUCACGUUCUCUGUGGAAAAUCGAUACUCUGGAAUACUCCCGGGUGAAAGCUACAUCGGUAUCCGUGCGCUUGCGGAUUUUUUCUGUUUGCGUUUAGAAUACCCAACAAGCUUUCUGGCGCCAUUGCCGGGGAACGGUAGCUGUGCUAGUUUCGUACCGAGUCAUCCAUGUAUCCUUUAUCUUUUCCUUUUUUUACCACACUCACCUUAUCACUUUCACCAUACCACAUGGAUUUCACUCUAAGCAUUAAUGAGCAUGGAAUUUAUUUCAUAGCCACUUCAUUUACUCCAUGCUCAUAUGCAACAUCUUCACAAUCCAUUGGUCUCUCCAACAUCAUCACAUUCGAGAUCUCUAACCCCCAAUUCCUUUCUAUUCAUAAAAACUUUAAAAGGGCAGUUGUUGAUGCAUAUGUCUAUAUUAAAUAUUGCAGAUCUCGUUGAGUUGAUCUUGAUAUAGGUCAGCGUUGGAGGGGAAACCACUUCGCCGACAUAAAUUGAUGGUUUCCCAAGGACAAGCUUAGUGUCCUAAAAUAAAGCACUGAUUAGAUCGUAACAUGAGCUUUUAAUUAUUUGCAACAUUACCUUGUGUAUUGAGCAUAUAAGGAUAAUUGUAAAAAAAAAAUUCUUCAGGUAUUCUUGUCACUAACCUUUCCAGGAUUGGAGCAAGAAGAUCAGAUGAAUGACAAGCACAAGGUAUGUCCAACCAAUCAUCAUACAACGUUGAAUUAAAUCCAUCCAAACUUGAAUUUUGCAAAAUUCAAGCUUGGGGGAGUACUUUACAUUAAAAACAUCCUUUGCCAUGUUGCUAUGUUGGUUGUCCCUACCUUUGAGACAUGCUCAAUUUGUUAAAUACUAAUCACACUACUUCAUCUCCACUUGAGUAGAUCUCUAUAAAUGCUCUCAUGCUACCUUUAUUUGCUUUAGUAUAUGUCUAGGUUUGGAGUAGUUUCAUUUAUCUCUUAAUUAAGCAUGGUGCUUAGUUUAGGAAUGAUGAUGUUACUUCCAAGGGAUUUUAAAUUAAGCAUGGAGCUUAGGCUAAAAUGCCCUCCUAAAUCAAAGUAGACACGGUGUCUAGGUUGAUUUUGGAGCCGAUAGUAUGCUAUAGUAGAUAUUGGAUAUUUUGUUGGACUAACCCCUGCAGGAAAACUUUCAAUAUCGACCUGGGAUGUCCUUAGAUAAACUCACAUUGAAGACAAAGAGUGAGACACAUGAAGUUUAACAAUUUACACAAGGAAGGCAUAGCUCACAAGAGAUGAUCCAUGCAGGGUGCCACAAACACGAUGCAAAACCGCUAAGAAAGGAAAGCUUCCACAAGGUGAUACGGUACCAUCACUCUUCAAGUAAGGUAACAUCUUAAGGUACUUGACUAUCACUUCUACAAGCUUCUCCUUGUUUCUGGCGUUCACAUGAAUAAAAGAGACAAACAUGUAUGAUUUACAACUCUAGAUUAACAAACCCAAUCGAUUCAAUAUGUUUAGUCCUUCCACCUUUGUGAUCCCACACUCCUAAUCAUAUGAGCUAAAAUGUUGCACACUCAAUCUUUGGAAGAUAUAUAAAAAACAACAUAAAUAUAGAUAGAUUAUCUUUCCAUUAGGUUGAGCGAUCUGAUCUGACAAAUGUUUUAAAUGCUACACUCAUGAUCUUAUUAUCCAUCAACUUUGUCUUGCUCACUAUGCUUAAGGUUAGAGAAGAGCAAAUACACUUUUGGUUCUGUUGGUGUUUUCCACCAAUAGGGCCCAUGCACUUGAUCUCUGCCUUGUCUCUAUGAGCAGGUACACUUCGAGCAAAAUAUGGAGGAGUUUUACAACUCCCAGACUCCACCAAGUGAAGAACCUAGAUCUACGAGCACACACACACUGGAGAUACUGGACACUAAGGCAAUCACUGCCCUGAGAUGCUUGAGGACGUAACUACUAGAGUAACCCUGUUGUGGAAGUAAUUAAUGACCUUCUGCCGGUCAAGAGAGGCAAUCCAGGACGCCCCGUCAUCCCGAUCUCCAUCGGCAUGGUGGACUUCCCAGAAGCACCCUACGACUUUGGCUCCAGCGUCAACAUUAUGCCCAGGUUACUCUAUGAAAAAUUCUUUACACAUCCUUUACGAGAAACAACCAUGUAUUUGCAGCUUGCAGAUCGGACACUAAGUUUCCCAAACGGAGUAUUGAAGAACCUCUACGUCCGAGUUGGUACCUUAUACGUCCCAGCAGACUUCGUAGUGAUAGAGACUGGUAUUGAUGAGAGGGCACCCAUCAUCCGAGGGAGGCCAUUCCUAAACAUUUCGGGAGCUGUCAUCUACGCUAGUGCUGCCAAGAUCAGUUUUUACAUCAAGGGAAGGAAGGAGACAUUUUCCUUGAAGAACAAGACUACACAAAUCUCACAGCAUUCCCGACAUGAACCAAGGAAGAGGACCAACAGGAGGAACAGGAACAAGCAAAUGUGGACUGAGUCAGCUAAGAUGGUCACUGCAGCUCAAGGAGAAGACGCUUUGCGACACCGGGUCAGGUGUCAACAUAAUGGCCGCAGUCACCUAUCAGCUUCUGUUCGGAACCAUGCCCCUGAAACCGACAUACAUUCAACUCUAGAUGGCAGAUCAGACAUUCUGAACGAUUGAAGGUUAUUGACAUGGGAGAAGACGAGUACGAUCCACCCAUCAUCCUUGGAAGACCGUUCUUUAGCACCGUUAAAGCAAUCAUCUACAUUGAAACCGGAGAAGUCCACAUGCACUUCCCCUCUGAGAAGGUACGCCACUACUUUACUGACCCUAACUAUAUAGUUGAAGACUCUAAGCAGGUUAGGACAAGAAGAAGACAACGCAACCGCAACCAGAGGAGGCAAAUUAUCAAGGACGGAUGGACAGACUACGAAGGAGAAGUAGUGAGGUCUGAAGACAUACAGCUUGAACAAAACUGUCCUGAGAAGACCGUAGCACCGAAUUAGGUGUGGAGAGAGAAGAUAGUUAUACACGAAGAGCAGGCUCUACCGGAACCACCGACUAUGCCAUCCAGCGAAUCCCAGGACGACUGAGAAAACGGAGAGUCCCGUUCGGAGGACUUAAAAACACCAAACGCCUUGCCAAGAGGUAAACUUGGUAGUUAUCUUUUUCCUUUCAAUUAUUUUAAAAUAGUUUACUUAGUUAAUCAGGUUCACAUCAUCUUAAAAAGAAAAUAAAAAUGUUAAAAAUAGAAAGCCCCAUGUGAGUAUGCUCAUGGCAUAAAACCCAUAAGUACAUUCACUGUGGUGGUGUAAGAAUGAAAUAAAUAUAUUCCUUUCCUAUAAAAUGAGAAUAUAAAAAUAAAUAAAUGAUCCUACUAAAGAGAGUAACAUUUAUUGAGGAGGCGCAACAUGAUAAAGGCUAGAUAUUUAUGCUAACACUUAACCAGUUCCACAAAGCUUUUUUUGUCUAUUUGAGCUCCACAGAAUUCAAGGAUCAAAGAAGACUAGCAGACGGAGGAUAUCCUAAUCGCUGUCAGGGUGCUGCCGACAUUCAAAUACACCUCCACCACUUGCUAGCUACAUCAAAAGGAAUUACGUCAAAAUCCAGCUUGGGGGAGAGCAACCCCAUUUAUCCAGCUAAGUGUUCUACUCACGUUUAUAUUUUACUCAAAUAAUAAAAAGAUGCAUAAUCAUAAAAACCAAAAUAAAGAUUCUGUGCUUAUAUAUGUCUUUGCUUAGUUUGCUAAAUAAAUAAAUAAAUAAAGUUUGCUAUGAACCCUCAUGACAAGCUCUCACAUGGAAAUGAUGAAUAGUUGCUCUGUCAUGACUAGUUCUCAAAAAUUGAAAUCUCUCUCAAGUUUAGGCAUCACUGUUAUGAAUUAAGAUUUGCUCUAAACCUAAACUUGUGGGGAGAGUACUUGAUCUAAAGUCUAAGUUGUUAACGGAUAUGAUAUGGGAAGGUUGAGCUGCUGUUUAUCUGUUCCUAGAGAUGCUAGAAUUCUGGAGAAUUUUAUCUUUGAAAAAAUCUUUAAAAUGUUGCAUGAUGAGUUCCUGUAUGAUGAGAGUUUAAAUUCCUACCACAGCCAUAUAUACAUGCUUGCUAGACUUUGAGCCACACAUUUACUUUUUACUGCUUAUGAGCAUUGAGUGUGGUCAAGCUGUGUAGACCCUUAGGAGCUUGUCAUGUGGUUAAGUCAAGAUUCACUUGCACGUUCACUCACACAUGCUGCUUCUACUCCGGAAGUACGCAUCCACAUAUAUCCACCCAUUUCCAUCUCCAGAAUCACCUAAAAAUAUUCUACUCCUAAUCCGGGAGAGAAUAGCCAAAAACAUUUCUAUUUUUCCCUAUGAAAUAAAUGCUCAAGUUAUCUUGGUUACUACCACUUGCUAUAUUAUUUCAGGAGAUGAGUGCUCUAAAAAAAGAAAGAAUACGAGGAAAUAAAAAGGGGCAAGUGCCCGGAACCUCGAAAGAAAAGAAAAAAGUGAGACGAGAGGUAAAAAUGGACAAGUGUCCGACAGUAGAAUUAGGGUUACAAGAUACCCACCUGAGAGAAAAGAAAAAUAAAAUAUAGAGCAUCUCAUUCUCCUCAAAAAGUUUCAAAAGAGCAAGAAAGGUAUGUAUCCCCUCAAAAGAGCACAAGUAGAAUUAGACUUUCACCAUUGUUAUCACCAUCAUUACCAUGCACCAUUCAUUUGCCACACAUGCACAUCUUGAUUUGACUUAUUGACUUGUUCUUCUGGAUCCAUGGUUUGACUAUGCAAUAAAUGUCUUGUAAGUAUGUAUUAGCUGUCUCCCACCUAUGAGCUCCAGAUAUCAAAACCUUAUAAGAGUAAGGUCAGAGAGAAGGCAAUGCCACUAUGCCUUAUACCACAAAUACCACAUACUUUGAGAGAAGGCAUAUACCAAUGCUGCCUUGGUAAGGAUCCAGAAAUACCACAAAAGAUAGACUAGAGAUAGUCAUACAAGGAAUCUCUGAGUUUUAUUUGAAAAUCUGCAAAAACUCCAGAGCUAUAGUUAAUCGAAGAACAAGAGACAUGGAGCUUGACUAGAUUGUUCUAACUUUUAACUGCUUAAGACAUAAGUGACGGUUACAAGCCCCAUGGUGGAAGGUAAUAUGAGUAAGUUUAAAUCUUAAUAGUUUACCCUAACCCAGAGAUAAGAUCUUCUUUGAACGCAUGUGUAUCUUUAAGGCAUAAAACCACUAUAGAAACUCUUGAGUCCAUCUUUCCUCAGGGACGAGCAAAUGUUAAUCUUGGGGGAGCUUGUUGACGGUCCUUAAUGCUCACAUCUAACCAUCAACUAAUCAUGGAAAAGGAUCUAAAUGGAACCAACACCUAGACUUAGGGUUUUAUCUGACAGAAUUCCACAAGUUUUGGUGUUUAUCUAUUUCUGCAGGGGGUUAUCAGGAAAUACGGAAGAAAGGCCCAC